rnacentral:rRNA from 1 species
CGGAGGGUGCAAGCGUUAAUCGGAAUUACUGGGCGUAAAGCGCACGCAGGCGGUCAGAUAAGUCAGAUGUGAAAGCCCCGGGCUCAACCUGGGAACUGCAUUUGAAACUGUCUGACUAGAGUCUUGUAGAGGGGGUAGAAUUCCAGGUGUAGCGGUGAAAUGCGUAGAGAUCUGGAGGAAUACCGGUGGCGAAGGCGGCCCCCUGGACAAAGACUGACGCUCAGGUGCGAAAAGCGUGGGGAGCAAAACAGGAUU